rnacentral:lncRNA from 1 species
AAUUUCUUUAAGUGUUUCACUUGGUCACCAAGGCUUCAAGUAGAUGGGUUUCUCCACAUGUUCCACGGGUUGGGCCAGUUCAAGUAGGUUGAAUGAGCUCUAUUUCAUCAAUUGACCUCGAUAGGACGCUCUUUACGCAUUUUUCACGAGUUUUGAUCCUUAGCCCGUGGCAUUCUCCCCCACCCAUUCUCACAAUGCCUUCGUUGUGUCCUCAGAAUGAGACUGGUUUGAUUCGCAUUGGAACUUUCUCGAUACCUCGGCUGAUUCCUGACUAGCCUCUCUGUCAAGUAGUCUCGUCCCUCGAAACAUUUUCCUUAGCUUCCGUUGUCUCCUAAAUCGAACCAUUUCUCCUCUCUUUUGUACAUCUCGUUCGCAAGAGCCUACCACUCUUACUUCCCC